rnacentral:lncRNA from 10 species
CCCUCUCUGUGAUCUCCCUGGUCCUUUCCUGAUCGCUGGGCUCCCUUUUUCGGGCCUCUGGCCAAAAACUUGGUGUUGUAGUUACCCUGCUCUGCCGUGCACUUCCUACAACUGCACCCACAGUCGCGGCCAAGCAGCGAAGAUUUAAGAAAGACUAUAGAAAUGUCAUCAUCAUCAUAUGCUACCCCAACACAGAAAAGGGAAAAAUUAACCUCUACGGGAUCCAGUCAAGAGACCCUCAAUACAAACAAAGCAAUAUCCUCUUAUAGGAAACUUUACAACGAAGUAGAUUCUACAAAGCAGCCUAAGUGUAAAGCUUCAGCCUGGACCCUCGUUGAAUUUGACAGCAAAGUGUCAUGGUUCCAAGACAGCAUCUGAUUCCGGUUCCCUGCUGUGGGUCUGGUUUUGUGUGGUUGUAGCAGAAUUAUGAGAACAAGCCUCCCUCAAUUUGGGCUACACUGUCCACAGUCACAGAGCAUCUUCCAGAGAAGAAAACACCUGCAAUGAUGAGACAGAAGGAGAACGGUGGCAUCUCUCACUGUAAAGGAAAGAACACUGGGGCCACAAAGUGUCAUCAGCCAUGUUCCUCUCCAGUCCAAGGACUCCCAGACACUUAGUGUUCCAGCUCCUGAGUGAAAAUGUUAACCAUCAGCACACUCUCAAAGAUCACUCACUCUAGGAAGUCAGCUGCCAUGUCAUGAUGAUGCUCAAGCAGCCUUGUGGAAAAGCUUCACAAGGAGAGGAACUGAGGCCUCCUGUCAACAGCCAUGAGAGGGGGCUGUCUUAAAAGCAGAUCCUCCAUCCCCAGUCAAGCCUUCAGAUGACGGCAGCCCCUGUGGACAUCUUGACCACAACUUCAUGAGACCCUAAGCCAGAAACACUCAGCUAAACUGCCCUGGAUUUCUGACUCUCAGAAACUGUGAGAUAAUAAAUGUGUGUUAUUCUAAACUAACAGUCUAGAAUAAACUGUUAUGCAGCAAUAAAUAACCAAGACAGUGGAUUUUUAUAAAAGACACUUUAAAAAUCAGUCUUAACUUCUGGUGCCAUCUGGUGUGCAUGUUCAGCUGCCUCCUUGAAUAUGCACUUGGAUGUCUCACACAUAUCUCAAAGAAACAUGAUGUUCUCCAAACUUGCUCCUUUAGAGUUUGUCCAUCCUAGGCCUCCUUUAAUUCCACACCUCAGGAAUGACUCCAUCAUAAUCUAGAAGAUCUAGAAGUUACUUCUUUUUUUUUUUUUUUGAGAUGAAGUCUCACUCUGUCACCCAGGCUGGAGUGCAGUGGCACAAUCUCAGCUCACUGCAAACUUCACUUCCUGGGUUCAAGCAAUUCUUCCUCAGCCUCCUGAGUAGCUGGGAUUACAGGCAAAAGCCACCAUAUCCGGCUAAUUUUUGUAUUUUUAGUAGAGAUAGGGUUUCACCAUGUUGACCAGGCUAGUCUCAAACUCCUGACCUCAGGUGAUCUGCCCGCCUCGGCAUCCCAAAGUGCUGAGAUUACAGGUAUGAGCCACUGUACUCGGCCAGAAGUCACUUCUUUUGCUUCGUUUCCUCACUCUGCCCACCCACUAUGCAGAUAGUAUGCACACACACACAUGCAUGCACACACACACACAUUCAUCCACACCUCCAGUUAUCACCUACAUCUUAGAGGGCAUGCAUUUCUCACCACCAACUAGUGUCACGCCUUGCCUCAGUUGGGGAAAGGCCCCCUAAUUGGUCUCCUGGCUUCCCACUCAACCCCAUCUUCUACUCAAUAGUGAGAGUCACUUUCCAAUGAGAACUAGAUCAUGCCACCACCUGGCACAAAUCUCCCCAAGGCCUGCCUUUGAAAUGAGAAUGAGAUCCCAGCUUUCCACAGAGGCAGUGAGCCCCUGGCAUGGUCUGCCCUCGGCCUGCCCAUCCCACCUCACCCCUCCUGCUCCCCUCCUCUGUGCUUAUCCACCCCACGCCUCUUCCCCCUCAGAGCUCAGCACACACUGCUCCCUCAGCCUAGAGCAUUCCUCCCCAAGUCACAUGGCUUCCUCCCCACACCCCUGGAACCCACCUUAAAUGUUUUCUCCUGUCUGGCCUUCCCAGCCUCCUCAUCUAAAGUAAACCCGCCUGUUAUUUUAUUUCUCAGUCUACUGUUUAUUUGCAUCACAAUACUUCAUGCAAGUUAAAGUAUUUGAUUCAUUAUAUUUUGUCUGUCCAUGGACCAAGCCAUAGACGAGCCACAGUUUACUGACAGGAGCAGCCACUUGGGAGUCCCCAGACUUGGGUUCACACACCGGCCCCCAUGAGUUCAGCUGAGCAGGUCAUACUGUAGCAUACGAUGGGAACUGGUGGGGCCUCUCCAUCACCUUGUCCAAGCCCCUGCAGACAGAGGUGUGCUAUGGCCAUCAAAUGAGGGGGUUUUGAGUAGUCCAAGGGCUACAGAUGCCAGUCUCCUGCUUCUGAACCUCAACACAGAAACCGUGUGUACUGAGCCAGUGUACUUAGUUUGUAUUUCUGUUUUUCAAUGCCUAGGAACCCUAAGUGACAUU